ACGAACUUUUAGUCUGUACUCGAACCGCUGCCACAUUUUCUGUUGACAGGCAUUUCAUUUUGUUUUCUUUUCGGGCCAGUCGAUUUCGGAAUGUUUCGAUUCCGUUUUUACGUAAAAUUUCUAUCGGAUCAAAAGUGUGCCGGUAAGAAGGUGUUUUGUUAACCGUUCCCGGAGGAGCUCAUCACAGGCUACUCCAAGACCAUCCAAGAUUUUAAGUUUUUUCGGCAUAUAAUGCCGCUGCGGCUGUUUGCAGGUAUCCGAAGGCUUUUCCUUUGGCUACUAUGGUGGCUGUUCGGAAGAACCUUCGGCGGAUGUUUUUCCGGGUUGAAAUGAAUUCUCUUGGAAACGAAAUUUCUUUUGGUUUCAUUGUUUCAGUGGUCAAUUGAAAAAGGGGCCGAAAACAAUCGGAGCGGCCGCUUCCAAAUGUGAAGCCUAUAACAAAACCUGCGGAUCUCUGUGGAGGCCUUGGAUUUGCUUGUGCAUACAGAUUUAAGUUUUCCCUACGAAUUUGGAAACAAGGACUUCAUAAGACACCUACAAUCAUGCUGCUGUGGAUGCGCGGGAAAUUUGACAUGGCGCUGCGAUCUUUAGAAUUAUCUCCCAAUUACAGGCAAAGUAAGUUAAAUUUUACGUUAUUCCUAAUGCCCUCAAAAGCGCCCAUUGAGCUCUUAUUUUUGAAGAUAGAAGUUAAUUUUUAUUUACUCAAGCUGAAAAAUCUUAUCGAAGUUUCCAUCUGAUUUAAAAAUAAUUAAAGUCGAUCCGUUUGAAGUUCGAUUUGUUCAAUCCUUCCGAUCCCUACGAUCAGUUUGAACCAUAUGAUCUUUCCGAACUGUUCGAUCCGUUCAAAUCGUGCAAUCCGUUUGAUCAUUUCGAUUGGUUCGAUCCCUUUGAAUCAUACGAUUCGUUCAAACCGUUCGUUGGUUUGAUCAGCUCGAUCCGUUUGAACCGAACGAUCCAUUUGAACCGUACAAUCUUUUCGAUCCGUUCGACCUUUUCGUUGUUGGCCAAAAUUCAAAACCAUGAUGAGUUUGAUUUUUCCCGGGAAUCUCAUCCCUGUAGGAUACAGAUGAACAUAUCAGAAUUGAAUAGUCAGUCGAUUAACGAAUUUUGGCGGUAACGGAUGUGAAUUGCGAUCGAAGAAUCUUAACAGAAUCCGACAAUCCCGUAGGAUGAUUGAGUUGUAGAGGGGCUAUAAGUUUAAUAUUUAAUUUAA